CGGGGAGUGGCGCAGCCUGGUAGCGCAUCUGCUUUGGGAGCAGAGGGUCGCUGGUUCGAAUCCAGUCUCCCCGA
rnacentral:tRNA from 1 species